rnacentral:tRNA from 1 species
GCCCGGGUGGUGAAAUUGGUAGACACAGGAGACUUAAAAUCUCCCGACUUAACGGUCGUGCCGGUUCAAUUCCGGCCUCGGGCACCA